rfam:Vigna angularis cultivar Jingnong 6 chromosome 4, whole genome shotgun sequence.
CACUGGAGGCAGCGGUUCAUCGAUCUCUUCCUGAGCUUUGUUGUUUAACGUCACAAUCAUGAAUCGAUCGAUAAACCUCUGCAUCCAGU